AUGGCUCAGGAUGAACGCUAGCUACAGGCUUAACACAUGCAAGUCGAGGGGAAACGAUAGAGAAAGCUUGCUUUUUCUAGGCGUCGACCGGCGCACGGGUGAGUAACGCGUAUCCAACCUGCCCAUCACUUGGGGAUAACCUUGCGAAAGUAAGACUAAUACCCAAUGACGUCUCUAGAAGACAUCUGAAGGAGAUUAAAGAUUUAUCGGUGAUGGAUGGGGAUGCGUCUGAUUAGCUUGUUGGCGGGGUAACGGCCCACCAAGGCGACGAUCAGUAGGGGUUCUGAGAGGAAGGCCCCCCACACUGGAACUGAGACACGGUCCAAACUCCUACGGGAGGCAGCAGUGAGGAAUAUUGGUCAAUGGACGAGAGUCUGAACCAGCCAAGUAGCGUGCAGGAUGACGGCCCUAUGGGUUGUAAACUGCUUUUAUAAGGGAAUAAAGUGAGUCUCGUGAGACUUUUUGCAUGUACCUUAUGAAUAAGGACCGGCUAAUUCCGUG
rnacentral:rRNA from 1 species